CAGGGUGACUGCCUCUUGGCACAGAUAGCUGGCUUGCGACCGGCUGCCCAGUGACUUUGCAAGGGGACGGGGUGGGGGAGCUCCCAAGCUGCUCCUUCAUCAGACUGCUGGUACUGAUACUGGUACUGGGAAGGAGGGCGCAGGCCCUCUUCCACCUCCUUUACCUCCCGCCUCGUGUUCUUCUUUAAAAAGCCAGAUGGCGCCAACUCUCAAGUCGUUGGAGAGCGCAGGGCUCCAGGGCUGGCUCAGAGAGAGCGAGGGGGCCGGUGGACCCUCGUGUCUGGGGCCGGAGCUUUCUCUCCGCCUCUGCAGACGCCGGUUUGCUUUUCUCUUUUUUCUUCUCCCACACCCCUCGCAAGAUGCCGACAAGCCCAAAGGAGAGCGGAGUGUCCUGUGUGCCACAUGGAGCUCGGGGGAAAGGAAAUGAUUAAAGCCGUGAGGUUUCCUGGCUCUUCGUGGUGUUUACGGUGGGUUUUGAUUUGGGAAGAGAGCGAAGAGAGGUUAGAGCCGGUUCCCAUCUGCCCGCGUCCUGAGCCAGUCUGGGUUGCAGAUGACACGGGGGCGGGUGGGCACUCGCGUUCGCUCGGUGUGCACAUUCCGAGUGGGUGCAGGAGCGUGUCUCUGAGUGUCUCGUGUGGUGGCCGACGUGGCAAUACACGCGUGUUUAUAAAGAAGAAAUCUUCUAGCUUCAAGAGGAGGGGUUUCGGGUUCUUGACAUCUGAGGGGCUGCAUCUUUCUAAAGUGCCCGCGUUUUUUGUUUUUGUGGGUUUUUUUGUUUUAAACGCUGUUUAAAACACUUCUGUAAUGUUUCCAGUCUUCGUGUAUUGUAUAUUAGGAUAGGGGAGAAAUCCCAUCCUUAAACACUUACAUUGAUUAAUUUGAUUUAAAUCAAAUUCCAUUGGAUGAAAAUGCUUGUUGAAAUUUGGAAAAUAAUUACUAAUAUUGUCAUGACAUUUGGCCAUUUCGGCUAUAGACAAUCAUCAUCAAGUCUGAAGUUAAGAUAAAUUCAAUAAAAGUCAUUUUCAAAUGCUUUGGAAUGUUGUGGGAAUAGAGUUGGCAUAUGGUCUGUAGCAAUCUUCGGAUUUUAAUUCAAAUGACAGAAAAACAUACCCUAACACAUAAAGCACUCAGCAACAUUAGCAAGGACAUGUGUUGUUGAUUUUUUUAAAAAAAUAAUAAUAAUGCUAGUCGUAUGUUUAUUGCAAUGUGCACUUUGGAGCAGUGUCUUUCUCUCUCUCUCUCUCUCUCUCUCUCUCUCUCUCUCUCUCUCUCUCUCUCUCAGAGCAGUGGGUUUCAAACCACAGGUUGUUGACUAUUAGUUCAUCCUGAAGUCAAUGCUGUGAGCAGAAGUAGCUGGAGUCAGAGUUUUGAAAAAGGUCCUAGUAUCUUAACAGUUCUGGGUGAAAGUGACACCCCAGAGGCUCCGUGUCUGGUGCAGGGGUGAGAAACGCUUCAUUUCUCUUUCUACUCCUGUGCUUCCGUGUUGAAGAGCAGCAGAUACUAUUCCCAUUGCUCCAAUUUCAGGACCCCAGUUAAAUCACAUUUACUCUUUUCUGGGAAGCUGACCUUCCCGAUCUGACCUUGAGGAUUCCAGUCAUCCCCCUGUUCAUUCCAGCCUAGAUGCUGAGGUUGCCUGGCUGGGAUAAGAGUCAACUUGGGUGUGGUUGGUCAACUCACCUCUGGGCUGGGCUCUCUCUUACCCUGCAAGUGUACAAUACAAAUGACUUUGGGUCUCUGUGCCACCUGGUAAGCCGGGGGAAAGGAGAUUUACAUAGGAUCCUGAUCAAGAAGGACCUACCAACUCCUGAGUUCAGAGCUCUGAAUUGAGGGAUAUGUUGACUUCCCCCUGCUACCAACCUAGAAGGCAUUACUGCUCAUUUUCUAGUAUUCCAGAAGUGCAUUUUCCCUAGUAGCAUGUGCGUUUAAGCUUUAGAAGGUAACAGAAUCACCUAACUAACUGGGGGCUGGUGAGUGGGCUCAGUAGGUAGACCUGAGUUCAAUCACUGUGAUCCACCCUGUGACAAGGUACACACACACCCCACAAACUAAACAAAUGUUUCUUGUUUUUUUGUUUUUUAAAGGCCUGAACCCUCAUUUCUAAUUCAGUAGGUCUGAGGCAGAGCUGAAGAACCUGCAUUUCUUAGAACUUCUCAAGCAAUGCUAAAACUAGUCCAAGCAACAGAUCUUGAGAGCCACUGUUAUUUAUCCUGUUGAGAAAGUCUGACAUGGACAGUGACCGACAGAGCGGGGGUAAAAGUGUCCCUGAAUCCUUCAACAGUCACCUCAUGCUGAGGCUCACAGCAAGUCCUGUCCACUGGGUUUCAGUGGAGGGGAAUGGGGGCUUCCGGAGGGAUUUAGCCUUGCAUGUUUUAAAGCCUAAGGGGAGAAUGAAGUCAAGAUAUUGAAAGGGAAGCUGAAGCAAAGGUGUUUCUACUGUUAUAAAAGGUAAUGUUGACCACCAUACUGCAAUGGACAGCCGUUCUGUAUUGAACGGGAACUGUGGACUGCGCAUGGAUGUCACAGACUUUCUGCCCAGACAUCCCUGGCUCCCAAGGCCUGGCUCCUGUGGCUUCCCAGUGUUGGGCUCUGCUCUGGCUGCUGAGCCUCAGAGGCAAAUGGGGUGGUUGUGAAAUUGGUGCUCUAAAUGAAACGAUUCUUGAACCUGAAGUGUGUGAGGAAAUUACCUCAAAGUGAGAGGAGAAAUUGGCCCAUUGGAAAGUUGUUGACCUUUCCAGGAUGGCUUUUAAGAGAAUAGAUUUGUUUUAUUUGACACUCUGGGAAUUAUUUAAUAAAAUGCAACAGCCUCAAAAAUUA